rnacentral:rRNA from 1 species
UAAUACGUAGNUCCCGAGCGUUGUCCGGAUUUAUUGGGCGUAAAGCGAGCGCAGGCGGUUAGGUAAGUNUGAAGUUAAAGGCUGUGGCUUAACCAUAGUACGCUUUGGAAACUGUUUAACUUGAGUGCAGAAGGGGAGAGUGGAAUUCCAUGUGUAGCGGUGAAAUGCGUAGAUAUAUGGAGGAACACCGGUGGCGAAAGCGGCUCUCUGGUCUGUAACUGACGCUGAGGCUCGAAAGCGUGGGGAGCGAACAGGAUUAGAUACCCUGGUAGUCCACGCCGUAAACGAUGAGUGCUAGGUGUUAGGCCCUUUCCGGGGCUUAGUGCCGCAGCUAACGCAUUAAGCACUCCGCCUGGGGAGUACGACCGCAAGGUUGAAACUCAAAGGAAUUGACGGGGGCCCGCGCAAGCGGUGGAGCAUGUGGUUUAAUUCGAAGCAACGCGAAGAACCUUACCAGGUCUUGACAUCCCGAUGCCCGCUCUAGAGAUAGAGUUUUACUUCGGUACAUCGGUGACAGGUGGUGCAUGGUUGUCGUCAGCUCGUGUCGUGAGAUGUUGGGUUAAGUCCCGCAACGAGCGCAACCCUUAUUGUUAGUUGCCAUCAUUCAGUUGGGCACUCUAGCGAGACUGCCGGUAAUAAACCGGAGGAAGGUGGGGAUGACGUCAAAUCAUCAUGCCCCUUAUGACCUGGGCUACACACGUGCUACAAUGGCUGGUACAACGAGUCGCAAGUCGGUGACGGCAAGCUAAUCUCUUAAAGCCAGUCUCAGUUCGGAUUGUAGGCUGCAACUCGCCUACAUGAAGUCGGAAUCGCUAGUAAUCGCGGAUCAGCACGCCGCGGUGAAUACGUUCCCGGGCCUUGUACACACCGCCCGUCACACCACGAGAGUUUGUAACACCCGAAGUCGGUGAGGUAACCUU